UAUCCACUGCAGGUGUUUGAA
rnacentral:misc_RNA from 1 species